rnacentral:rRNA from 1 species
CCUACGGGAGGCAGCAGUGGGGAAUAUUGCACAAUGGGGGAAACCCUGAUGCAGCGACGCUGCGUGAGUGAUGAAGUAUUUCGGUAUGUAAAGCUCUAUCAGCAGGGAAGAUAAUGACGGUACCUGACUAAGAAGCUCCGGCUAAAUACGUGCCAGCAGCCGCGGUAAUACGUAUGGAGCAAGCGUUAUCCGGAUUUACUGGGUGUAAAGGGAGCGCAGACGGCAGGGCAAGUCUGAUGUGAAAGUCCGGGGCUCAACCCCGGGACUGCAUUGGAAACUGUCCGGCUAGAGUGCAGGAGAGGUAAGUGGAAUUCCUAGUGUAGCGGUGAAAUGCGUAGAUAUUAGGAGGAACCCCGAUUGCGAAGGCAGCCUGCCGGGGUGCGACUGACGCUGAGGCUCGAAGGUGCGGGUAUCAAACAGGAUUAGAUACCCUUGUAGUC